UUCGCCCUGGAUCAAAGCAACAGGUAUAUCUCUGCUCUGCUGUGACCUUAGCUCUUGUCCCUGAGGAUUAGCACUGUCUCAGCUGAUGCCCACCCGUUUUUCCCUUGCUACUUCUCUUGCAAUACUAAUCUCAACAUAAACAAGCACCUCUGCCGAGGGAAAUGAAAUGCGGCUGAAAGGGAAGAGAAGAGCGAGCUCCUCCCAGGCUGGUUUCAGAGAAAUUCCUGCCUGCUGCUGCCUGGUCUGUGCUCCAUCCCCAUGCUUGUCCCCCCACCCAGAGAGAAAGGGAGGAGGGUGAGGAGGCCUCCACAGGGAUGCUGAAUGUCCUUCCACACCCCUGAAGAAUUCUUGUCUCUGCCUUGCCAAAAGGAAAUGCAGAUGCCAAAAAGCUGGAGCACAUCAAAUGGAGGCAAGGCAAAGGAGAUACCUUGGGGCUCAGAGACAUCCCACCGUCCUUCCCUCCUCCCCACUGCUGUCAUCUGCUUUCCCAAAGGCAUCAUGGAGGGAGGAAGAGAAAGGAAAGAUGUUGAAGCAAAUCCUAGACUGGACUCUGAUAUUUCUUAAUAUCAAGCAUUGCCCAGCGGUACAGAAGCCCAGAUGAUGCUGUACUCACCG